UACGUAGGGGGCUAGCGUUGUCCGGAAUCAUUGGGCGUAAAGCGCGCGUAGGCGGCCCGGUAAGUCCGCUGUAAAAGUCAAAGGCUCAACCUUUGAAUGUCAGUGGAUACUGCCGGGCUAGAGUCCGGAAGAGGCGAGUGGAACUCCUGGUGUAGCGGUGAAAUGCGCAGAUAUCAGGAGGAACACCAAUGGCGAAGGCAGCUCGCUGGGACGGUUACUGACGCUGAGACGCGAAAGCGUGGGAGCAAACAGG
rnacentral:rRNA from 1 species